GUUCCUAUCGAUUAGUGGUUAGAUCAUCACGUUGUGGCCGUGAAGACGUGGGCUCGACUCCCACUAGGAACA